ACGCUCGACACCUACGGGGGGCAGCAGUCGGGAAUAUUGCGCAAUGGAGGAAACUCUGACGCAGUGACGCCGCGUGCAGGAAGAAGGUUUUCGGAUUGUAAACUGCUUUAGACAGGGAAGAAAGAAAUGACAGUACCUGUAGAAUAAGCUCCGGCUAACUACGUGCAGCAGCCGCGGUAAUCUGAGCGGGCUGGCAAGGC
rnacentral:rRNA from 1 species